rnacentral:lncRNA from 1 species
AUCCUUGAUAUGAUGUCAUUGAGAGCAAAUUCAUCAGCAUCACGAGCAGCUCGUAAAAGUGUUUGGCUCAUUGUUUCUCCAGAAGCGGAUUUAAAUGAUCUCUUCUUGGGAUUAGUACUGCUGAUGUCUUCAAGUAAAACUUGUAUCAGAACUAAAAGACACUUUUUUUCUUGCUUCACACCAAUCAAUUGAUGAAGUUUUAGUGUUUGGUUUCACUACACUUUCUGAAUUCAACGUAUGACGACUUGAAGAUUUUUUAAAAUUAAUCACUGGACGAUUAGGACGUGAAUUGGAUGAAUUACUCUUCUUCUUGGUGGACCAGUUCCUAAUCCUGUAACAGUAGUAUUAAAUAUAGAUCAAUCACUAGAUGCAUAAAGUUGAACAAUUUUUCGAACAGCUUUCUCGUAACGCAAAAAAGCCGGGUGAUAAAUUUCCUUUGGAAGCAACAACGUAGUUUGGAAGAUCACAAACUGAUGAAGAGCUUUUCGAGUUUCUUUCUCGACUUCUUGACUUGGAUUUAUGUUCAGCUUCACUUUCCUCACCAUCUGUUCCAAAACAAUUACACUGUUGACAAAUAAAGAUAAAAAUAUGAUCGAUUACUCCAGUGCUCCUUUGAAUUUUUCCGUACAAUACGAGUUUACAAUAGUUGAUCUUCUAGGGAUUAAGAGUUACAAGGACUUGAAAAAAUGAAUUUUUUCUUCAAGAGUUGAUGUUGAAAUGUAAAUACAUUUGUUAUAUGGGCUUGACUACUCUCCAGAGACAAGAGGGUGGAUCCUAACAUAUGAAGUGAAAGAGAAUCCACGCUUGGUCACAUUCAAAACAACCUUUCGUGCUCAAGGUAAACAUUAUUCUCUCCAUGAUUUAUACCAAGUUCCUCAAUGUCCAUUUACUUGGUCAGGAACUUGAGCUACGACUUGACCGUACUAAUGACUAGAUUUAUCGCUGCGCUCUUCAUGUCAUCGAAGAUGUAUAGAUGCUCUUUAAUCGAGCGACAACUGCUGCACAUAGAGGGAAGCUCAUCGUCAUAUUUUGAAGUUUAUAAAUAAAUCUAUCAGCUUAAAACGAAAAUUGACGUAUACUUGUUAAUAUUCAUCGUCAAGAUAUUUAUCAGAAACUAUCAUGAUGUAUUUACCUGAUAAGUAGAUGACUUGGAUUCUUCUGCAUUGGUAUCCCCGAUUCGCCGAUUCAAUACCAUCGUGAUAUGUUCUUGAUGCUCACCUUUAUGUAUUCUACUGUCUACUGGAAAGUUUGA